rnacentral:rRNA from 1 species
UACGGAGGGUGCGAGCGUUAAUCGGAAUUACUGGGCGUAAAGCGUGCGUAGGUGGUUUGUUAAGUCUGUUGUGAAAGCCCCGGGCUCAACCUGGGAAUGGCAAUGGAUACUGGCAGGCUAGAGUGCGGUAGAGGGUAGUGGAAUUCCCGGUGUAGCGGUGAAAUGCGUAGAGAUCGGGAGGAACACCAGUGGCGAAGACGGGGUUGCUGGGCCGACACUGACGCUGACAGCGCGAAAGCCAGGGGAGCAAACGGG